rnacentral:rRNA from 1 species
UACGAAGGGGGCUAGCGUUGCUCGGAAUCACUGGGCGUAAAGCGCGACGUAGGCGGCUUGUUAAGUCAGGGGUGAAAUCCUGGAGCUCAACUCCAGAACUGCCUUUGAAUACUGGCGAGCUUGAGUUCGGGAGAGGUGAGUGGAACUGCGAGUGUAGAGGUGAAAAUUCGUAGAUAUUCGCAAGAACAACCAGUGGCGAAGGCGGCUCACUGGCCCGAUACUGGACGCUGAGGUGCGAAAGCGUGGGGAGCAAACAGG